GGAGGGAGAAUGUCUUGUUUGUGGCUUGUCAGCAAUUGCUUGAGACAAGCUUCCAUGUGUGAAAGCUACUUGGCAUGAAUGCCUGGGCCGUACCAAGUGUCACCGCAGCAAGAGGGGGAGACAGAAGAAAAACAGAUCAGACCAGAGCAGACAAUAGGCCCCUAAAGUGUUCCCCCUAAGUUGCUUUGAUGUUGUCCUGGUGUCUUGAUACCAGGAGGCCAGGGAUUGCUGGAAAAGGGUCUUUUUUGUCUUCGUUCACUUCCCUCCAGUUUCUGCAAUGAUUCUCCAGAAUCUCUGCUCAUGAAAAAGGCUUCCCGCGCACGUCUAUUCUUGAUCCUUUUUAUCUGAACAACCUGAACUGGACCGGUGAUACAGCCAUGGACUGUUUAAUCUCUCUCCAACUCACUCUACUCCCCUGUCAAAUACAGACAAUACUAAUUAUUUCAAUACCUUAUAAUAUGAAUUAAAUUAGACGGGACCGUAUCUUUAAGGUAAGUAAGAUAUUACCUGGCAUUAAAGGUCCUCGUUUGAUUGUAGCAAUUACUUUAAUACACAGAAAGGAAGGAAAUGCUGAUGAGAUAAUAUGCUGAGGAAAAUUUCACUUGUUACAUCAUUGACUCCUUGGAGCAGCCCUGAGAGACUUGUGUUUCUACUUUAUGAAUGAGAAAACAAUAACAAGGUUGCCAGGGAUGUAGCCUAGGAAUAGUACUUUUGUCUAGCAUAUACAAAGCCCAGAGUUUGACCCCCCCAGGACCCCACCCACUCCCAUAAAAACAAAAGCCCCAAGAGGGAAAGCGUAUAUAAUUAUCUGUCAUGAGCCAAAUGAGGUAAGCUAAACUUUUUCAUACGCUGCUGUUAUUAAUAUUUCCAUCUCAUAGUUGGGAAUGCUGAGAUCCUGGAAAUGUAACUUGUCCAAGGUCCCAUAACUAGUAAAUGAUAGUCACAGCUGCGGUCUAUGUCUUUUAAAUCCAGGCAGUCUGGCUCCAGAAGUCUCCAGAGUUCUAGAUAGCACGGAGUCAGGGUUCGGGUCUUACUAAUGGUGCUAGUUCAGUUCACUCCUAGAGGUGCGUACGGACUGAACGCGGGUCUGUGGUACACACGCAGCUGGAAUGCACACGGAAUCCAAGUCCUGUGAUGGGAUAGGUGAGGGCGACUUCUGGAACAGGAUUCUUUGAAAUUUCAUGUAGACAAGUGCAAGCUAAUGUUCACUGGAAGGAACAACCGAAGCAGCUUCCACUCACUGAUGGGCUCUGAAUUACUCCACUUGUAAGUGCUCAGGAAAAAGAUCUCAGAUUCAUUGUGGAUUGCUCAAUGGAGACAUCUGCUCGCCGCGCAGCAGCAGUCAGAAGAAUGAAUGAGAGAUAAUAGGCUGUAUUAACUUUGAGAAUGGGAUAAAGAAGAAUGCAGAAAAUAAUAUAGUGCACAUAAUUUGGCAUUGACUAUUUCUGUAAUUACAAUAAAACAUUUUAAUGAUAUACAUUGAUGUUAUGACUUCACCUUAAAAUCAGAAUUCAGCACUGGGUCCUUUCACUUCAAAAGAAAACAGAGCAGAAUUGUAAAGGAUGCAGAGAAAAACAACAGACACUCUCAGAGACACGCAAGGGACUCGCCUGUAAUGAGGAACCAAAAAGAC
ensembl:lncRNA